AAUUUUGUACAAUGGGGGCAACCCUGAUCCAGCCAUCCCGCGUGUGCGAUGAAGGCCUUCGGGUUGUUAUGCACUUUUGGCAGGGUAGAAAAGGCGCCGGAUCAUACCUGGCGCAGCUGACGGUACCUGCAGACUAAGCACCGGCUAACUACGUUCCAGCAGCCGCGGGAACACGUAGGGUGCAAGCGUUAAUCGGAAUUACUGGGAGUAAAGCGUGCGCAGGCGGUUCGGAAAGAAAGAUGUGAAAUCCCAGGGCUUAACCUUGGAACUGCAUUUUUAACUGCCGGGCUAGAGUAUGUCAGAGGGGGGUAGAAUUCCACGUGUAGCAGUGAAAUGCGUAGAGAUGUGGAGGAAUACCGAUGGCGAAGGCAGCCCCCUGGGAUAAUACUGACGCUCAUGCACGAAAGCGUGGGGAGCAAACAG
rnacentral:rRNA from 1 species